rnacentral:rRNA from 1 species
ACAACGACUCUCGGCAACGGAUAUCUCGGCUCUCGCAUCGAUGAAGAACGUAGCGAAAUGCGAUACUUGGUGUGAAUUGCAGAAUCCCGUGAACCAUCGAGUCUUUGAACGCAAGUUGCGCCCGAAGCCUUUAGGCCGAGGGCACGCCUGCCUGGGCGUCACGCA